ACACGACUCUCGGCAACGGAUAUCUCGGCUCUCGCAUCGAUGAAGAACGUAGUGAAAUGCGAUACCUGGUGUGAAUUGCAGAAUCCCGCGAACCAUCGAGUCUUUGAACGCAAGUUGCGCCCGAGGCCAUUCGGCCGAGGGCACGCCUGCCUGGGCGUCACGC
rnacentral:rRNA from 1 species